rnacentral:misc_RNA from 1 species
GAUGAAGAACGUAGUGAAAUGCGAUAAGUAGUGUGAAUUGCAGAAUUCAGUGAAUCAUCGAAUCUUUGAACGCACAUUGCGCCCCUUGGUAUUCCAUGGGGCAUGCCUGUUCGAGCGUCAUUUGUACCCUCAAGCUUUGCUUGGUGUUGGGCGUCUUGUCGUAUUACGACUCGCCUUAAAUACAUUGGCAGCCGGCACUUUGGCCUAGGAGCGCAGCACAUUUUGCGAUCGUAGCCCGUUGUACUGGCGUCCAUCAAGAACAUUUACCACGUUUGACCUCGGAUCAGGUAGGGAUACCCGCUGAACUUAAGCAUAUCAAUAAGCGAGGA